rnacentral:rRNA from 2 species
AGAGUUUGAUCCUGGCUCAGAUUGAACGCUGGCGGCAUGCUUUACACAUGCAAGUCGGACGGCAGCACAGAGAAGCUUGCUUCUUGGGUGGCGAGUGGCGAACGGGUGAGUAACAUAUCGGAACGUACCGAGUAGUGGGGGAUAACUGAUCGAAAGAUCAGCUAAUACCGCAUACGUCUUGAGAGGGAAAGCAGGGGACCUUCGGACCUUGCGCUAUUCGAGCGGCCGAUAUCUGAUUAGCUAGUUGGUGGGGUAAAGGCCUACCAAGGCGACGAUCAGUAGCGGGUCUGAGAGGAUGAUCCGCCACACUGGGACUGAGACACGGCCCAGACUCCUACGGGAGGCAGCAGUGGGGAAUUUUGGACAAUGGGCGCAAGCCUGAUCCAGCCAUGCCGCGUGUCUGAAGAAGGCCUUCGGGUUGUAAAGGACUUUUGUCAGGGAAGAAAAGGCUGUUGCUAAUAUCAGCGGCUGAUGACGGUACCUGAAGAAUAAGCACCGGCUAACUACGUGCCAGCAGCCGCGGUAAUACGUAGGGUGCGAGCGUUAAUCGGAAUUACUGGGCGUAAAGCGGGCGCAGACGGUUACUUAAGCAGGAUGUGAAAUCCCCGGGCUCAACCCGGGAACUGCGUUCUGAACUGGGUGACUCGAGUGUGUCAGAGGGAGGUAGAAUUCCACGUGUAGCAGUGAAAUGCGUAGAGAUGUGGAGGAAUACCGAUGGCGAAGGCAGCCUCCUGGGAUAACACUGACGUUCAUGCCCGAAAGCGUGGGUAGCAAACAGGAUUAGAUACCCUGGUAGUCCACGCCCUAAACGAUGUCAAUUAGCUGUUGGGCAACUUGAUUGCUUGGUAGCGUAGCUAACGCGUGAAAUUGACCGCCUGGGGAGUACGGUCGCAAGAUUAAAACUCAAAGGAAUUGACGGGGACCCGCACAAGCGGUGGAUGAUGUGGAUUAAUUCGAUGCAACGCGAAGAACCUUACCUGGUCUUGACAUGUACGGAAUCCUCCAGAGACGGAGGAGUGCCUUCGGGAGCCGUAACACAGGUGCUGCAUGGCUGUCGUCAGCUCGUGUCGUGAGAUGUUGGGUUAAGUCCCGCAACGAGCGCAACCCUUGUCAUUAGUUGCCAUCAUUCGGUUGGGCACUCUAAUGAGACUGCCGGUGACAAGCCGGAGGAAGGUGGGGAUGACGUCAAGUCCUCAUGGCCCUUAUGACCAGGGCUUCACACGUCAUACAAUGGUCGGUACAGAGGGUAGCCAAGCCGCGAGGUGGAGCCAAUCUCACAAAACCGAUCGUAGUCCGGAUUGCACUCUGCAACUCGAGUGCAUGAAGUCGGAAUCGCUAGUAAUCGCAGGUCAGCAUACUGCGGUGAAUACGUUCCCGGGUCUUGUACACACCGCCCGUCACACCAUGGGAGUGGGGGAUACCAGAAGUGGGUAGGAUAACCGCAAGGGGUCCGCUUACCACGGUAUGCUUCAUGACUGGGGUGAAGUCGUAACAAGGUAGCCGUAGGGGAACCUGCGGCUG